ACUAGGUUAGUCAGAAGUCGUAUGAUCGUAAUGUCAGAAAAAAGCAGUUAUAUAUGUGUCUGUUUGUGCUUCAAACAUGGUGUAUUUGUGGAAAGUUCCAGAAGUUUAAGGAAACUAGUAUGCAUACAUUGGUAUGUCCAUCAGGGCGUGUGAAUAUGCAAUAUAUUUGUAUCAAGAACUCGUUUGUUUAUACUUAAAAUUAGGUUGCGAAUCGGUGAAGCAGACAGAUUGGAAUGCGUAGAGAACAGCUUCGAGUGUUUUGGAAAAUUUGAAACCAUUAGUGAAUUCUUCAGGAUGCCAGAACUAGACAAGUCAAAACAAAAGCCUCUUUGUCAAGAUCGCAGUUGACUUGGUUGGUUAGAAGACAUAUGAUUGUGACGUCAGAAGAAUGCAGUUGCAUGUGAAUGUUAGUUGGUGUGCUAAACAGGAUGUGUACAGGACACGUGGGGAUGGAACGUACAUCGGAAUCCUGAGUGGACUAGCCUGCAUGCAUUUGUACAUCUAUUAGGUUGCGUACAUUUGUACAGGUACAUAAAUGGCAAUGUAAUCCCCUAGUGUGGUGAUUGAUAAGGCAAAUAGAUGACAAAUUUUCGUGGUGGUCGCCAGAGACUUUGGAAAGCCAAGGAGACAUUUAGGAGAUCCAUCGAUAAGGGAAGGACGCCUUUCGAAAACAACCAGCUUCAACCAGCAAGAGAACUAUUCCCCCCACGCAUCCCCAACACCACAACCUUCCUCUCCGGAACACUAACCUCCCAAAUCACAUGACGAAACCCGAAAGGAAGGCAACAGCCGUCGGAACAAUAUCUUUAGGAAGUCCUACGGCAUCUUGCCUUCGGGAGAUGAGAGAAGUGAAAAUGCUGAAGACCUCAGAACAAUAGACAUGCGGUGGACUGAGCGGCAUUAUUUGCGUGAAGGAUUACAAGAGGAGAUGGAUGUCUGGAGCGAAGAAAGUUCCGUCAUUUCAUCCUGGAAUCAAAUAAGCUAAACGAUUCAUCGCCAGUAUAAUCAUUCGCAUCAUCACCGCCAUCAAGUUAAUCGGUGUGCAUUGUCAUUGUCGUCAGCAUCAUUGUUCUUCAUCAUUAUUAUCAUCGUCAUCAAAAUAUUAUCAUGUACAGUAUUACGUUCAUGACCCAUAUUAUCAUCGUCAGUUUUGCUAACUACCAGGAGAAUAUGACUUUUCUUGGAGGCGUCAUUCCUUCCUUCUAAGUAGUUGCAGAGGCCGUUAAUAAGAAAAGCGAUUCAAAGCCUUCAGAGCAUUAUCGUUUUUCUAUUAAACAAACCGGAUUUUAUGAAUUAUGGUUAGAUUUUAAAUCAGGCUGCAGUUUGCUCCUUCCCUUUGACCCCACUGGAUUUUCUUUCAGUUGAUAGUUGGAAGAUUGUUCUAAGUGAUAUCGUAGAACAUGAACUUGAAUCUAUUCAUUAAUAUUGUUCACUUGGCUUUAAAAUAAAACGUGAAUAAAAUAAAGAAAAAAAAAACUACAGGUCGAAAAUAGAAUUAGUCUAGUAUUCGUAAAGAGAAUUCCCAGGCACUGGAUCUAAUUCGCUGUUCGUAUAAAAGGUGAAUGUCCUCCUUCUGUUUUGGAAAAACUAAAGAGAAAGCAACAGGAAAACGGAGCCACUGCGUCACAGCAAGGGUAUAAAUCCGUCAGACCAAGAAAUAUAUAGGGAAAUAUAUCGGAAUUUUCCAUCAUAUUUCAUUGGAACUGACAAGGGGACACGGCCUCUGUCGGAACUCGUUUCAGCGCCAGAAUAACCUUUAGAGGGACACCGGCAGAAAUGUGUAGCAAUUUUGCAUAAGAUGAGGCUUCAGGUGGUUUUAGAAUACGUCACAAGGAAAGGUUGGGAGAAGUCAUAUAUGUACAGAGAGUAUUUUGAUUACCAUGUUACCAUGUUAACGAAAUUUUCAUUCUGCAUACUUUGUGGCUGCCCUCAGUUGCAAACAUCACGCUCUGCACAAAUCUGCAUUUCGUUGUUCAUAACUGGCUUAAAUUAUGUCAGGAUUAUCAGUUUGGUCACAGAAUUGUAAGUCAUUAUGUCCUCAGCAUAUUCGCUGCUCUUGUAAUAAAUCAGUUUCUA